AAAGGCCAACAUUCAGCGCCAUAGAGCAUUGCAGAUCAUAUUUGUGGCAGCUUUUUCAAUGGCUUUCUAGAAAGUUACAAUCCCUGUAAGUAUACAUUUUUUUUUUUGCUGCUUUUUAAGAAUUUUCGUGCCGAGAUUGAGCUUCUAACAUUGAUGUGCUAAAGUGUUCUUUUUUUAUUGCGUUUGUUAACGUUGUUGGAUGAACUUAGCAUGUGCAGGUGCUUUGCUCACUGUUGAUGAUCCACGGUAUUUGGAGUGAAAUUCUAUUUUCAAGCCGUGGUAUUUGAAGAAGAAAUCCUUCAUGGAAGGUGUCAUGUGCCCACCCUAAUGUUGGGCAACCGCUGUGUCCAUGUGAUGCUGGUAGGGAACAUGUGGAUCUAUUCGCAUUUUGAUGGAACUAAGGCGAAUCUGUGCCUACAAUUCCCUUUUCAUUUAAACUUUUCCAUUUCUUCAAGCGACCAACGGGAGCC